rnacentral:lncRNA from 1 species
AAAAGGAGAAUACCGUACCGUGCAAUCAAUCCGCAUCCGCCUCUUCUAAUUUUAUUGGCACCUCCACCAAGGAGCUCCAGCCUCAAAAGUGUACUUCCCAUCAUCCCAUGAUAUCUGACAUGCUUGAAGACCAAUAGCAACACCAGGUUCCUUUCCAUGCUGUGCACUCCACUCUUCGAUCGCUACUUCUUUAUCACUUACAUGAGUAUAAUCCUCUUAUAUUUGCCAAACAGGCUCCGCCCAGGACUUGCCAUUUCUGCAACUGCAGCUGGCAUAUACAUGGAAUCGCCAACUAUUGGUGCACCAAGCGCAGCCAGUUGUGCUCGAACCUGCAUCAUCAAUGUAGUUAUUUCCAAAGAAAUUAUCAUUAUCUGACCUACUUGCAACACAAACUAUUAAAAGAAUCGUCGAUAUUCUUUUAACUCCUAGUUCCUCGGAAUCCAAUGACAUAACUAACGGAAACAGAAUACAGUAACCAUGUAACAUUCAAGUGAUACAUUCCUUGUGCCAAAGAACGAGAAGUCAAAGUUUUUAGAUAUUUAGUUAUAACUCAUCUUCCGGUCGCACUUGGUGCGAUGGCAAGUGCCUUCGCCCAUGAGCGGUAGGUCUCGGGUUCGAGACUUGGGAGCAGCCUCUCCAUAAAUGGGGGUAAGGCUAGCCGACAUUCACCUCUCCCAGACCCUGCGUAAAGCGGGAGCCUUGUGCACUGGGUACGACCUUUUAGUUAUAACUCAUCUUCCCAAAAUCUUGAAGUCUAAACUACGGAAAAUCUUAAUCCUUUUGAAAUAUUAUAUGCUUGAAGCAGCAGGACGUCUCCUUUUAUUUGAGCCAAUUUAAAGCCAAUAUCCAGAGAUCUCAGAAAGAAAAAUACAAAUUGAUAAAAUGAUCACCAUCUCGUUCCAAAUCAGAGUCUGAAAAGAAAAUGAAACUAAUUGAAUUAAUGUAUCAGCAUAGAUUUUUACUCCUAACCUGAUGAGUCCGCCCAGUCGGAAGGUUGCUUUUACACUCAUAUGCAUAUUCUCUUGAAGGCCACCCACAGUCUUCAACACAAUAUUUCUGUUCAACAACAGAACUUGGCCAGGGAACCUCCUUGCAUUCCAUGACUUCAAGUUGACACAAACUCCACCGUUCCAUGAAAUCUGCGUUGCCAAUAAUUGUUUAGCUUCAUACAGAAGGAGUUUACUACUAAGUGUACAAAUUUCACAAAGUAUAUUUCUAUUCACGAAGUUUGUUUCUUCAACUGUGGUUGUGAAGAUGUUACAUCAAGUUAAAGAAAGCUUUCUAUGGGUGGGUUUCAAUUAAUUAAAACUUUAAAUUGGCUUUUAAAACAGUUAUAAAAACCGAAAGAACAAGACAAAAUCCUGAAAUUGCUUCUAACAACGGUCAUGUCCUGUCUAUUUGAAUCAUCCCACCAAAUGCCUGUCGUGAGAAAUAAUGGUUUUUAGUUCUACACACAAGCAGCACACACUGAAGGUGUCAUUUCAGCUCCAAAUAGGAAAACAGAAAGGAAAGAUAUUGGCAAAACAAUGUGGUGAGGAUGUAAAUCCCUCAAGGCACUUGACACAUUCAAAGUGCAACUCCUCAAACACCAAACUAGUUUCUAUGCAGUGCUUGACAGAGACUAUUACCUUCUGAAAUGAGUCUUGGAGCCAUGUUAAUUGGACGCAUGUAGUGAGUAAUUGUUCCAAUUGGCACAGGGGCAGCGGCAAGAGCAAGAUAAUGCUUCUUCACCUUUUUCUCCUGGGUGAAAGAAAAGAUAAAUAAACUUAAUGACCUAAAGAAAACAAACUCCAUGUUGGAGGGAAGUAAUAAGGAACCCCUCAGCUUCUGAGUUAUCGCACUCCGCCCUCCCCCUCCCAGUAAUUAAGGCUAUCAAAAUUAUGUAUGCCAAAGCAUGAAAUUGCAAAACUUAUUCUGAUUUUUCCGUGAAAAACUGAGCAAUACUCCUUGGUUCUAGCUAAGACAACACUGCAAGUGAGUGAGUAGCAUUACCCUCUCUGUCUCCAGUCUCAACAACAAGAAAGACAACAAACUAGUAUAAUACAACAUACCAUCCUUCUGUACAAUUAUCAAUCUGAAGUGUAGUCAUCAGGGGUGUUGUUAGUCCCAAGGCACGAGUGGCAAAGGUUGCACAACUUUCUUCGAUGUUGUCUGUAGUUCCUCCUACCUGGACAAAAAUUGUUAUCGAAUCAUAGUUGAUGUAAACAACUAAUUAACUACUCAAAAAAAAACAUUUGAUAGUGCCAGAUAACAGAUAUCGAAAUGUGUCUGUAAUGAUACGUACUGUUGUACCAGCAGGUUUGUCCAAAACCACGAAUUCAUCAGUUACAGCUACAAUUCUUGAUUUCCAGUCAAUUUCAUAGCACCUGAUCAAAAUUUGAUGUGAACAAGAAUAACACUAGUAAAAAUUAUAAUAAGGACGCGUAAAACAUUGUGUUUUACCUAGGAAAACGCUUUGGGUGUACAUGAACACGUAAGUAGGUUCCAGUUUCAACAAAUUGGUCUGGAUGUGUUAUGCGGAAAGUCUUCUGUGCUUCUCUUACAGUUUUUCCUUUGAUGGAAGCUCUAUCUUUUAGUACUGAUGGUGCUGUAACUUCUUUAAAUACCCUCAUCUGCUCUUGGGUUGCAGUUGGAGGAGGCCGUGAACAGACAAGGGCAUAAUAUACAGCUCCGAAAUGGAUGAGAUCUGCAACAAACCUUCAAAGAAUGAAAUUUUUUUUCUAUUUAUCAACUCGAACUUGAUAAUGACGGAAAUCAUAUGCCAUACAUCAACAACAAAACAAUUAGAAGACAAAAGGAGCAGAACUCACUGAAGAGGAAGAUCCAGAACUUUGCAGAUAUAUUCUAGUACAGGCCCCCCUUCUGAAACAACCAAGUGCUCGAUUCUUGGCGGUCCAUUGUCUGAGGGACAUGGAAGCAACCGAGUAUAUUCAGGGUAGCUGAAAGAAGAUAUGAUAUCAAAGUCGGCAAACCAUAGAACACAAAAUGGCACAAACUCUAUGUAACAUUAAUUUGUUGGCGACAAUUAUAUCGACACAUUAUCCAUCACAAUGAUCAAAAUUAUAAAACUCUAAAACGAUAGAGAUUCAAAUUUUCAUUUCCAGAUUCUUUUGCUCUGCUCAUUUUCUCAGUAACCAAACAAAGUGCUUCCGAAUUAGACCAGUUUAAUCCAAACCUCACUUUCAACAAAUAGAUACUAACAAUUAAAAGCCAAAAUCUCAGAGCUUCCAUUUCCAUUACAAAGAAAGAAUUUGGUAUUCUAAAACGAUAAAGAUUCAAAAUUUCCAUUCCACAUUCUUAAUCUCUGAUCAUUUUCUCGGUUACCAAACAAACUGCUUCCAAGUUCGACCUUCAUUCGAACUCUCACUUUCAACAAAUAAAUACCAACAAUUAAGCCAAAAUCUCAGAAACCCAAAAACAAAAACAAACAAAAAAGCAUCAAAGUCGGAAAAUUUAAGGUACCCAUUUGCAGAAGAAACGGCAGUUGGCUGCGAAACGUCUUGUUUCAGGGACUGACGUGCAGAUUUUCGUUUAUUCGAACUCCGAGAAAACCAUGCCACCUUAACGUGCCUGUAGCUGUUGGAGUGUUCACUGAGAGCAACGUGGGUGAGUGCUAACGUGCGCACAAGGGCCGCCGGCGCACUGAAACUCCGGCAGCGGUUGGCCAACAUUGAGGAGAAGCUCACCGGCCCCAUCUUCUUCCUCCGGAGGCUGAAGCUGGAUAGUAGAAACUGCUAUUUGAGUUGAUUUUUUAGGUGAGGUUUAACUGAGAUUUUGAUUUGGUGAAAGCCGGGUUGUGGGUCGGGUUUUUACAGAGUAAUGGACCGCGUCCAAAAGCAUUAUCCAAGCUUGAUCGAGUCCACUAGUGAUUGGGCCUGUGUUACCCAACUAACCUUGAGUUGGGCCCGAUGAAGUUCUUAGGCUUUUUUCUACCCUCUAAAAUCUCGUUUAAAAGUAUAUUUAAAAUAACUGAAAGUGUUUUUAGUGAAAAUAUUUUUAGAGUCUAAAAGUAUUUGAAACAUUUCCAACAAAAAGCAUCAUAAGUCCUUCAAGUACUUUUCCAAGAUUCACUUGCAGUUUAACUAACAAUUGGUUCCAAAAAUAUUUUCACGUAAAACACUUUUAAGCAUUUUAAAAGUACGUCCAAACGAGUUCUAGAUUGAAAAGUUCUUGUGUGCGGUCCACUGUAUGCACUAAAACAAUAAGAACAAUGUUAGGGAGCCCAAAUUUUGUAAGCAAAUUUGCAAACCAAAUGAUGUGUCAUUAAUAAGAAUCAAACAUGUUAAUCGACACUUAAUUAAUAAUCCAAUAAUCUACGACCACAUUAUUAGUAAAUUAUCCAAACAAUAAACAAAACUGAAUUAGUCCGGACCAUUAAAAAGUUACCGAAACAAAAAACAUUAUGAGCUUUGUCUUCUUUCUACCGUCAGCAAUCAGCAUUGAAUUUGGCUUGCUUAUCAUGUCAUAGACACAGCUCAGAUGGAGAAUUUCUACUGCUCGAAGCUAUACAGGUCCAGGCAGCUAAAAGCAAGAUGAGAACAAAAAGAAACAGAGUUAACGAUGGAGGACUGGCUGUCAAUGCCAAAGGUGGAACUUCACGCUCACCUCAAUUGAUCCGUCAGAGACUCCACUUUACUGUUACUUCUCUCUCUCUCUCUCUCUCUCUCUCGCUUUGUUCUCAGGAAACACAAUCUAAUAUCUGGUGUUUUGUUUUGUGUGCAGAGAACUUGCUAGUGUUUUGGGUGAUAAGGGUGUCAUAGUUUUCUCAGAUGUGGAGCACGUUAUUCGGAAAAGUAUGCCCCUUUUCUCUUUCUUGCUUGCUUUCUGUUUGGUUGCUGGGAAAAUGUAGGAUCAAGAAGGAAAAUUUAGUCUUACGAUUCUUACCCAUCUUAGAUUUUACAUUUUUCUUGCCUGGUAUUUCUAAAUCCUCAACCGAAAUGUCCCCAUUGCAUUUCAAUUAAUGAUUUUUUUGGUGAUUUUUGCAAACGCGGGUUAGGUCAGUUGGGCAAGGAUUCCCGCUCGCUUGCACCUGAGUUCGAAUCUCUAUUACUGUAGUUUAGAAUAAUUCACGUUGUUUGACUUGAUCCACAUUCUUACCACUGACCACAAAAUUAUCACAAGAAUUACGAAAGAAGUAUGAUAACAACCCGUACCUUCGUGGUCCUUCGCCGUAGCCGGGAAGUGGCCGGAGAAUGGGCUUGAAGCCGUCGGACUCGCGGAGAGGGUUGGGUGUGCUGGGUUCCGGUGGGUGUGCUCUGCUCUUCACGGAGAAGGGGAGAGAGAGCACGGAGUGAGGGUGAUGGCGGGGGGUGUCGUCGCCGGCGUGGUGUGGGUGGUGUGUCCUCGGGGAAAGAGAGAGAACGAGGGUGAGUUGCGAGAGGGAGAGGUCCGACUGUGAGAAAGAGAGAGUGAACUCGGGGGAGAGAAGAGAGAAGAGAAAGUGAGGGGAAAAGAGGAGAGGGGUCUACGUGGCAGCCAAGAAGAAAGAAGGGUCGGGGGACCAAAAGGGCAGGUGGGCCCCGCCCGGCUCACCAAUUUAUGUCCAAAAACAAUCUUCAGAAUAUCUUUCACCCGUGAAAAGUUCAAAAUGCCUCGUUUUAAAAUUUGUAAAAAAUUAUCGGAACGGAUUGUUACCGUAACUGUAGUUAUAACUGACCGCACAGAUUUCAUCCUGAGCAAACGAGCAUUUGGUCGGAUGGCUAAAACUACUAAUGCAGCUGCUUCUUUGUUUUCUCUUGGUAUCGUUGACAUCGAAUACAGACGGUAAGAGCAUAUAAGUCUUGAAAGCAACUUUGAGGAAACUUCAUGAUUAAUUUCUACUUCAGGUUCGAGAUUUGGUAGCUCUAUCUGUCUCUCUUCACAAAACAUUGUUUCAUGCAGCUAUCCAAACAAAAAUAUUACGAUCAAGAUUGAAGAGAACCGUAAUUAUCUUCAUAUAUUUGGCUUUUGCAAUUUUGUACCAGCAACGGAAGAAAGAUAUCACAGCUAUCCAGCUAUGUGACGUACAUUAUAUGCUCUUUUACUAUUACUUAUAAACUUGUGCUUAAUUUUAUUCAGUCAAUAUUUAUAAACCAACCUAGAAAUGUGCGUUACUCUAGCUAGUUAGUCAGAAUAGUGUGCUCGCCUCUUUCACUACUCAGCUUUUUGCAAGCACUUGUUUUUUCUUCAAAAGGAAACAACAAUUAAUUUAGACUUUUAGUUAUACACCAAAGAAAAUAUAUAAUAAAGAGCUGCAUAUGAAUUCAGUCAAGUUGUUAUCUUUUAGCUAAACUCUUGUUCUUGUAUCUGUUGAAUUUAUUUGCUUUAUUCUUAUGUUAACCUCAUUGUGGAGUAAAAAAUAAUCGAGAAAAAUAUGGAGACGACACGUAGAUUCUUAAGUGAAAAAGACAAAAUUAUCCUUGAGGCACACCAGAGCUCCCACGCGCGAGAAGCAAACGAUGACAGCUCAAUCAAGGUAAAAAAGAAUCAAAAUAUGUAUUUAUUCUAAACAUAUCUCAUCAUUCCUCAUCAAAUUCUCCACACAAAGUAACUCCCAAUUACUCUUUUCAAAUUGGGAUUAAUUAGCAAAUUAAUUGAUUAAUUACUCAAUUAAUCAAUUGAUUGCCUAAUUAAUUGAUUUAUUGCCAAUUACCACCAUAAGUGGCCGGUCCCCAUUUCUCCAAAUAGGGCCAGCCACACACCCCUAUAUAUAUCCUCACAUUUCUCCAAAAACCUAAGUUCAAUUCUCUUGCUAAACUCUCCAAAUUUCUCGAAACAUUUUUCCCUCAAAUUCUAACUUUGGCAUCGGAUAUUUUUGGGCCAAAGCCCCCCUUCAUCGUGGGUGCGUGAGGCUCUUGGCUUUUACCGAAAGUUUUAAUUGUUUUGCAAGUGCAUUUUCGUCUAAGAAUAAGAAUGCGCAAAUUUACAUCUACACUCGUCAUGACAUAUUAAUUGAAAUAAUAUAAAAACUUUGUAUGCAAAGUAUUAGACAGGAUUUAUGGAGCAGUUUGGACGACAACCUCGCCCCCAAGUGGACCCUUGCAAAUAAGAAUGUUAUAUGGUAAUGAUGAUGGUAAUGAGACUUGGGUUCUUCCUCACAAUAACUGUAUAACAUACCACAACACUGGAAAGUUGGACAAAUAUAUGUCUCAGAAGUUCAAGUGAAUUAAUGUUUUCUUUUGCAAAUGGGAAUAUAUAUGUGUAUAUAUAUAUGCUUGAAUAAGAGGUUCAAUAUCAGAAUUCCUUAAUGUGAUCAUCAUAUUAUAUUUGUCUUGUUGAUAUUCUAAGUUAUUACGUACAAUACAAAAAGUUGCUGCUAUAUAUAUUAUACGUAGACUAAAACCCGAACUCGGGUGGCACUGUUUUUCACUGUUUGUGAACAGUGAAAUGGCGAAAAGGCCCUAGUUUCUUCUUUGGAUUGCUACUGUUUCAUUUUUUAUACAGUAAAAAGUCUCUUUUGCCCUUCCCGGUCACGCGUCUUUCAUCGUUUCUUUCUCUGCUUGGACCGCAUCGUUUCUUCCUUGCAAAAAAUUUAAGGUAGUCAAGGUUUUGUCGAAACUGACAACAACGUUUUGUCGAAGCUUAUAAAAUUGGUUUCGAGCGUUCGCGACCGUUGGUGCAAGAAUUUCACAGUGUUGGUCUCUGUUUUCGUCGGCGAUCCCGGAGUUGGGACUGAGCACGGCGUGCCUUUAAAUUAUCGUCGGGCAAAUUGUAUUGAACUCUAGUAUCUUCCAAAACAGCUGCAUAAUAAUUUAUUUAUUUUUUCAAAUUUGUGUUCGUUUGAAUGAAACCCUAACAGUUUCGUUUUGCAGUGAGUUGUAGCGGUUUGUUGAGAAUUUGUCGGCUAAGGCAUAUUUUGUGUUUGGCUUCCUCUACUGACAAGUCUGAGAAUUCGCAUGAGCUGGAACGCUACUGUUGGUUUGGGUAUGCCGUCCCAGCCUCCAUUUUUUCACAAUUGUCUCUCCGUUUCUUAUUUGGAUUAGUGAAGUUUGUGUUUUUCUUUUUAGUGUUUAAUUUUGUGUGAUUUUAUUUGCUUGGAUAUUGGGUUUGAUCGGAUUACAUGCUUAUUUUGUAAUUGAUAAUUGUUUUUCAAUUAAUGGGGGUAUUUCGAAUGAACCAGAAAAGUCAAUCGGUUUAUGAAGAGCAUGUUUGUAGGUUGAUAAAUUAUGAAAUCUAUGAAAACUGGGCAGAUUGAUAAAUUACAUACGUGCUCUUUAUUUGUAGAAUUACAUACUUUAUUUGAUGCAUGUUUGUAGAGCCAGUUUUAAACAAAAACACCCAAACAAUUCUCCCAGCAAGUUGUUAGCAAUAUUCCUGACUUUUCCAGUUCUGAAAACAAUUUGAUGCAUACAAAUUUAUUCCUGCUUAUUGUUGUUUUACAGCAUAACCAGCUUUUCUGUAUAGCAUGGCCUCCAAUCAUCAUUCAUUUGAAGGUACGCCAUUCUUCCACUAUCUUUUAUUUAAUUUGAUAAAAUUAUCUCAUAUGUUUAACUUAUUAACAAUAACACGAUUUCAUGUACUAACUAGCUACCAGGAUGCUUGCUUUUUGUAUGAUUUCCAUUAUUUGAAGUAUCUGAGUAGAGUUUUGUUCGAAUUAGAAAAAUCAAUUUAAAUUCAAGCUUCUUUACAAGCUUGAGAAGAGAUUUUAGUCUUAUAAUAGUUAAUAAUUAAGAAACAAUUAGAGUCAUACAUGUACUACACAUAUUGCUAACUAUCCUAAACCAAAAGUGUUGUCAUUACUGCUUAAACAUACCAAUCAGUCUACAUUCUGUGAAUGCAUAUGAUGACUGAGCAGUUUAAUCCUCAAUUAUAAUCUCAUUUGUAAAGCUUUUGCUAUCCCAACUAAUACACACCUGUAAUAUUGUAUUUACACCAUACUAAAACAUUAUCUUUUUCAUCUGUUCAAUCAAAAUUUUAUCUAAUGCACAUUCCAAAAAGACAAACGUGCAAAAAUUUGAUCACAUCGUAUAAAAUUGCCAGAAAAAAGGUCAUUCCCAAAUCAUGCAAAACCAGCCUUCUUUCCUGCACAAAAAAAUGGGUAAACACAAUCUAUCCUUAUUUUAUUCAUGAUAUAAGGUAAUUAAAACUAAAAUAUCUUUUUUAUGAACACCAAUCAGCUUCUUUGCCCGCUAGGUCCAUUGUUCUUCAUUUCGCAUGUCUUUAUAGAGAUUUCAUACUCCUCAAUUUGGGAUUUCUGUGUUGUAGAUUUUGCAACAGCGGUUGCAUGGGAAGCAGGGAAGCUGUUGGUGACGGAGAGGGUGAAGAUUGCUCCACCUAAGGCCAUGGAAAUGAGGAUAAAGGUCAAAUAUACCUCAGUUUAUCACACUGAACUCUACUUCUGCCGAAGGUCAGCAAUAAUAUCUACUACAUACAUAUAAUAUUCAUAAUAUAUAUAUAUAUAUAUGAUUUUAUAUGAUUAAGCUUUGAGAAUUGCAGAUUUGUAAACUAUGAGUAGUAGGGGUGGGCACUUGGAACCGAAAACCGAAACCGAAACACGAAUCGAAUCAAACCGUACCAAACGGUUUGGUUUUGCGGUUUUGAAACGGUUUCGGUUUCAAAACCGAACCGCGGCACACAAAAUGGUUUGGUUUCGGUUUUGGGUUUUCAAAACCGCACCGAAAUCGAAACCGCACCAUAUAAUAAAUAAAUGUUAUAUAACUUAUAUUUUAAACUUUUCAACUAGGUUAUAACUUAUAGGUUUGUAUUAUGGCAAACUUAACCUUUCAAUUGGGUUGUAAAGUAUUGUCAUUGGUGAUCAAGUUCAAUUUUAGUAGAUGUGAUGCAUAAGGAUUUAAAGUUUAAACCCUUUGAUGCAUUGGAUGUUGUCUCAAUUUUAGUAGUUGUCAUUUGUUGCAGUUUUGGUACAAGUUUGGUACAAGUUAGCUGCACUUUUGGUGCAGAUUUUUGGUUCUGAUUUGUUGCAGUUUUGGUACAAGUUUGGUACAAGUUAGCUACACUUUUGGUGCAGAUUUUUGGUUCUGUUUUGUGCAGUUUUUUGGUGCUGUUUUGGUGCUGUUUUUUUAUGCAGUUUUGCUGCAUUAUUUUUGGGUGCAAUUUUGUGCAGUUUUGGUGCAGUUUUGUGCAGUUUUUGGUGCUGUUUUGCUGCUGUUUUUUAUGCAGUUUUGCUGCAAUUUUACUGUAUAUUCAUUAAUUAAUAUACGAGGAAAAUAAGACCGUCUUAUGCAUAAAUAGGUGUAUAUUUUAAAUUGUACAUUUUUUUUCUCCAAAACCAAACCGAAACCGUUUGAAACCGCACCGCACCAAACCGAACAUUUACUUCGAGUGAAUACAUUGUUGUUCAUUUUGGCCGUCUUUCCAAAAUCAAGCCCCUUGCUCAGUUGGACAAAGUUUGCAUCCGUAGUUGUGCCAUACCAACAUGUUUGGUGUUGUACUCAAUGCUUUAGAGCCUUGAAUUAUGCAUCCUCAACUGAUGCUACAUAUUGAAUCGUUUGCAUUAUUACUGAAUACUUUGUUUUUUAAUAUCAGGUUUGGGUUCCCCUCUCAAUGUAGCAAAACGAAAAAUUAUCCUCAGAUGUUGUUUAUUGGCCUCGCUGUAAGUUUGGACAAACUUUGUUGAUCCCAAAUUCUUUGUUCUAAUAAAUUGCAUUUACUUUUUUUUUUCCGUAUUUAUACUGAUACAUGGAUGAUCUAGGUUACUGAAGGUGGAAAAAUUCCUGAGGCGCUAGAGUAUUGGGGUGGAGUCGGUGGACUUGAAGCCCAAGAGGUUUGACGAAGGUAUUUAUCUUUUAUUUUUUAUUUUUUAUUUUUGACGUUUGGCUUUGGUUUAACAGGUAGUUUAGUGGAAAACAUAGAAACAUAUUUUUGCUUAAACAUUCUUUCCCUGGCCAUAACUAAGAAAUUCGGAGUAAAUGAAUUUGUGAAUUCGAGUGACAAUGACAAACCAAUGCACAAGAUGAAAAAUGAUUCGCUAUUCUUAUUAUGUGUUGGACAUGAAUCAACAUAGAUGGUUCAGUUGUAACUUUAACUUAUAUUUUUAUUUUCUUCUGCUUCUCAUCUACCCAAGUCUACAAUGUACAUACAGCUAAGGAAAAGACCGAGACAUCAACCAGUGCAGAAGCUCUUGAUAGGACUAAUUGCAGAUAGCACUACAAAUGAGCACUACAAUUUUAAGCUUGAUGUUGGUAUGUGAUUUCCACUCCAUCUCAUCUUUUUUUUUUUUAAUGUUAGUUUAAUUUUCAAAACUUUUGUACGUAUAAAGUAAUUCUCCAUAUAAUUGAAUAAUUGCCUUUUUUUCGUUUCUCAUUUUUGCUCUUCCAUCAAUUCAUUGGUUAAAUAGAUUGAAAAUUUUUAAUUUUUUUAUAUUCAAUUCUUACUGAUUCCAAUUCUUAAUAUAUGGUAAGAGAAAAAUUUUGGACAAAGCAAAAAAUAACAUGAUGACCAAGAAAAAGAUGGUCAUUCCCAAACAAGCAAGACCAAAGGAUUGACCAGGAAAAAUCAUAAACACUGAGCAGAUGUGUGGUGCCAAGCUUCUGAUAUGGACAUGAAUAUUUUUCGUAUUUGAACGAUUUUGAUAUUAUGAACUUCUGUACAUGAAUAUAGCUUUCAUAGCAUCUCUAUCUUUAUAACAGUGAGGAAUUCACACUGCCAAUCUCCAUCUUAGGUAUAUAAAUCUAAUUUCAAUAAAUUCUGUUUUCUGUAUGUACAUAUUAUCAAAAUAUUUUAAACACCCGCAGCAACGCGCAGGCACUUUUGCUAGUAUAUAUAUAUAUUUGUGCUGCCAAAUUAUUAUGAAAAACCCCAUUGACGGAGAAUUUUUUUAUUGUGCUUAGAAUACAUGUAGCAUAUCACGUUUCAUUACAUAAAUGAAGAGAAGUUUUAUUUUUUAAGUUAAUUUUUUAAUACAAGUAUCUCACCACUUGCAUCACUAGUGACACGUGAUGUACCAUUCCAUGUUUCGUUCACAUUGAAAAUCUCUUCUAUUAAUGAUACAAUUUUUACUUGAAGAUGCGCGGUCCACAUUCCAAUGAAUUAUAAACAUUAUCUAACGUAUGUCUAGCUAGCAAAAUGUCUAAAAUUAGAAUCACUUAGUAUUAUAAUCUAUAGGUAUUCUUUCACUUGUAGAUAAAAUGUAUUAAGUUUAAAUCUCAAAAUUAAUGAAUUCGUAACCAAUUUAUUCCUACAUUCUCUCCAUACUACAAGGGCUAGUAUCGCAAAAGGCCGCAACUCAAACAUUCCAUAGGCAAUCUAAAUGCUUUACAUUAAAAGUUUCUGUCCAACAUGCCACAAGAAAUUUGACUCUGAAACAAGUCUGAAUAACAAUAUACGUACAUACUGAGAUUGGCCAAUUGAAACUUUUGAUGAGUUGGAUCUUAGUGUCACCAACUUUUAACAUUCCGAAUCUCUUUGUGAAAAUUCUGAGAAUUCUCAAAUUGUAUCCGUUCAUGGUAUAUCGUGUUAUCAGAAAUUAGUUUAAAUAUUUUAUUUUAAAGGGAAUUGUUAUUAACACUCCAAAAAUUUUAUUCUACACUCCAAACUUUCUAUAUUAGAAAAGAAAAAUACAAUUGUGAGGAGUGUAGAAUGAGAUUUUUUUAGUGCCAAUAACACUUCCCAUUUUAAAUUAAAUAUAAAUAGUACUUGAUAAAAAUUGACUGCACAGUAUACAAUGAACGAAUACAAUUUGAAGAUUUCCAGAAUUCUCACAAAGAAGAUCUGGAAAGAAUCUCCUCCUAAAAUUCCAAACCAAAAUAUCAAACCUCGCAAAAUUGGAGAGAUUGGACAUCUCUGCAGAAAUCUAUCAGGUCAUGCUGAAUCCCAGUUUCGCUAUCAAGUCGUCAUUUCUUGUCAUCAUUUUGCAUACAAUGAUCUGUUGAAUAUUCAAGUCUGUGUGUGUGUGUGUGUAUAUAUAUAUAUAUGUGAGUAAAUUGUAACAAUAGUCUUUUAACUUUAACUUAGAGUAAUGGUUCCUCAACUAAAAAUUUAUUACCAUUGGUCUCUUAACUUAUCAAAACAUGCAGUUAUGGUCCCUAAACUAAAAAUCGAUUACUAUUAGUCCCUCAACUUUAAUCCAACUAGAGUAAUGAUCCUUCAACUUUAACCCAAUUGGAGCAAUGGUUCUUCCAACAUAGCUUAUUUUGACAAAAUUCUAACAAAGUUGAUAAAAAUGACCAUAGCUACACAUUUUGAUGAGUAGAUGGACCAAUGGUAAUGGAAGUACUUUUUGUAUUUAAUUUUAAAUAAAAAAUUCAUAAUAAUUUCUGACCGUACAAAUAAUCGAACCAGACUCUAAGGCCAUGUUAGUGUUUCUGGUUUCUGAGAUUUUCAAUGGUUAUGCAAAAAAUGGAGAAGAAGAAAGAAUUGAUGAAUGUUUUCCUCUCUGCCACAAAAUGUAGCAGAGGAAUAUAUCUCUCUUACUCUGAUGCAAUCACGCAUACAUCGAGCAAUAUACAUGACCAUUAGAGAGAAGUGGCUGGAUUCCCUACAUCACAAAAUGAUCUCAGCCAUACAUUUAGCUAAUUACUAGGAUCAUCACACAUGGCAUUUUAUGCCUUACAUUUUUUGACCUCACACUUGGCAAUAAUAUACUCAAGUGAAUACACAAAUAAACUCAUCUUACACUAAUACUAAUCAGCUAUAGACUUAUAAUUCAACGAUGUAUUUACAUUUGUUGGACUCCAAGAAUUCUUCUACGACCAAAUGCCGGAGGAAAUGAGAAGCAUGGGAGCAGCAGCAUACCUCAGUGCGGUACGUGUUGGAAACUUCUUGAGCAAUGCUAUAACAUCUGUGGUGCAAGAAAUUAGCUCAAUGCAUGGUGAAAAAAGGCUUGGUAACAAUAUCAAUCAUGCCCACUUCGAUUACUUUUAUUGGGUAAUUGCAGCUUUGAGCACUUUGAAUUUGUGCGUUUAUGUACUUCUUGCUAAACCUUUCGUAUACAAAAAGUUUGAAGCACAAGAAACCAACAAGGAGAGAAAGAGCUGACUUGAAGCUUAUGAUCUCUCUUGCAGUUAAGAGAAAGUACAGGUAUUAGUAUAGAAAAAUGUCUGUACUCAUUCCGUGUUUAAUAUAAGGCUUUUAUAAUAUAGUGGACACCUCACUGCCUCAUUAUACUACAGUUCUUGCAGACAUAAGCAUUAUACUACAGUAAUUGUACAAUACUUAUAGACUUUGGUGCGUUGCAUUGAUGACAAUCUGUGGUAACUAAUCAUUUUAAUGAUUCGAUAAAAAGGAAGCCGUUAUUGUUUCCUUGAAUCCUUUAUCCCUGUAUCUUUUUUUUUCAAAAUACAAAUGUACGAAUCAUUAUAUUGAAAUUGGUUAACUAGUAGAAUUGGAUGAUCUUUUUCAAAACACACAUGAAUUUAUGUACCUAGAGUAACUGUACAAUACGUAUAGAGAUGGAGCCCCCAACAAACAUAAAAGAUAAAACAAUCAAGUAUUUGUCCCCUAGGUGACAGGGAAAUGAUGGAAUAGGUGGAAUGUCUGAAAAGAAACAAAAAAGAUAAAAACACUCGCAUGCAUUACACAAAACUAUCUUCUUUUUUUUUUUUUCUGUCCUCCAUUUCUUGGCAGAAAGUGGAGAGAUUUUGCAAAAGUUUCUAUAAAGUGAAACCUCACAUGGGUAAUCGGUGACUUUAAUUUCUAUUCUUCUUCUUUGCCGUCUCCUUAAUUUUUCUUUUUAAUAUUGUAGGUAUGAGAUGCCAGCUUAAUUUGAACUCUUAUAAGUCAAACGAUACACGCGAACAGAAAUCGGGUUGCCGGCCCAUUAAUUAUUCUAAUCCUUAAUUAGUAAAAAAGAAAUGCGUAUCGCACAAUCUUCAAUUCCAAGUGAAUAAUUAAAGGGAUCCCAGCGAACGGUGAAAUCCAUUUCCAGAAGAAAAAGUGGAAAAAGGGUAGAGAUCCAGCAAGAAACAAAACAAACCCAAGAAAUCAGAAAUGGGAGAUGGUGAGGGCUGUACGACCGUCCCACUGAUUGAUCUGAACCAGUUUCCAGAUGCACUUUAGCUAUUGCCGCUGUGCUAUCACAAUGGAUCAAAACUGCUGGAAUCGAUUUCUCCCAUAAAGGGGUAUCUAACAGUAGGUUUCUCAACCAUCCUGCUUCUUCGCUUGCCGUAGCUAACGCUAUUAAUUCUGACUCCAUCGUAGACUGAGCCAAGAUAGUCUGUUUCUUUGACUUCCAUGACACAGCCCCGCCACCAAUAUUAAAAAUAUAUCCACUAGUGGCUUUAGAGCAUCUGAAAGGGUAUUCCAAUCAGCGUCGCUGUAACCUUCUAGGACAGCGGGAAACUUCUCAUAAUGUAAUAUGAAAUUCAUUGUCCUUUUAAGGUAUCUCAUAAGCCUCUCUAUAGCAUGCCAAUGCUCCAAACUGGGUUUACUAGUAAACCUGCAUAAAACUCCUACGGCAUAAGAUAUAUCAGGCCUAGUGCAAUCAGUAGCAUAACGAAGGCUACCAAUAAUACUCGCAUAUUCAGAUUGUUUAACACUGUCACCAGUGUUCUUGAACAAUUUUACACUAGGAUCAUAAGGAGUACAUGCUGGUUUACAAUCAAAAUAGUUAUACUUUCUUAAAAGUUUUUCUAUGUAGUGAGAUUGAUCUAAAGAAAACCCAUGUUCGGACCUAGUUAUUUUCAAACCAAGUAUUACACUAGCUUCACCCAAAUCUUUCAUAUCAAAAUUAGCACAUAACAAAGUUUUGACAUUAUUCACAACAUGAAAAUUCGAACCAAAAAUAAGCAAAUCAUCCACAUAUAGGCAUAUAAUAGUGCAUAUAUUAUUUUCAGACUUAUAAUAGAUGCAUUUGUCACUUUCAUUUAUUUUAAAACCAUUCGAAGUAACCAAACUAUCAAAUUUCGCACGCCAUUGUUUAGGAGCCUGUUUCAAUCCAUAAAGUGACUUAUCUAACUUGCAAACUUUAUUUUCUUGUCCUGGAAUAAUAAAACCCUCUGGUUGAUCCAUAUAUAUUUCUUCCUCUAAUUCACCAUUUAAGAAAGCUGUUUUAACAUCCAUUUGGUGCACAACAAGAUCAUGAAUAGAAGCUAAAGCAAAUAAUACACAAAUAGAAGUUAUUCUAGUCACAGGUGAAUAGGUAUCAAAGAAAUCAAUAUUUUCUCUUUGUCUAUAGCCUUUGGCAACAAGUCGGGCUUUAAAUUUUUCAACUGAACCGUCAGGUUUUAAUUUUCUUUUAAGAAUCCAUUUGCAACCUAUUAUUUUGCAACCAGGUGGAAGAUCCACCAAAUGCCAAGUUUGAUUUGACUCCAAGGAGUCCAUUUCAUCAUUUAUAGCUUCUUGCCACAAAUCUGCAUCUAAAGAAGUUAAAGCUUCUUGAAUUGUAUUAGGAUCUUCUUGUAAGUUAUAUACAUGAAAAUUAGGCCCAAAAUCUUUAGCUAUUCGAGCUCUUUUACUUUUCCUAGGUUCUAAUGCAGAUUGACUAUGUUCUACAAUAGUAGGUUCAUAAGUUUUAGAAGAAUUAGAACCCCCACUAUUUCGAAGAUUAAAAGGAAAUUUAUUCUCAUAAAAAUCAGCAUCUAGUGACUCAAUUAUGACAUGGUUCUUCAAAUCAUAAAAUCUAUAUGCUUUGCUAUUACAUGCAUAACCAAUAAAAACACAUUCAUAUGCUCUACUAGCCAAUUUUGAUCUUUUUGUAUCAGGUUUACGAACAUAAGCUAAACAACCCCAAGUUCUGAAAUACAACACAUUUGGUUUCUUAUUUUUCCAAAUUUCAUAAGGAGAAAUAUUUGUUUUUGAGUUAGGGAUUCUAUUUAACACAUAACAUACAGUCAACACAAUUUCACCCCACCAAUAAGAAGCAACUCCAGAACUAAGCAAAGUAGCAACAGUCAAUUCACAAAGAGUUCGAUUUUUUCUUUCCGCUUUACCAUUCAUUUCAGGAGAAUAAGGAGCAGUAGUUUCAUGAAUAAUUCCAUGAGACUUAAACAAAUUAACAAAUUCAGUAGAUUCAUAUUCUUGUCCUCUAUCACUACGAAAUCUUUUAAUCUUACGAUUAAAUUGAUUUUCAACUUCAAUCAAGAAAGUUUUGAACAUGUCAAUAGCUUCACUUUUAUUUUUCAUAAGAUAGACAAAACAGUAAUUGGAACAAUCAUCAAUAAAGGUAAUAAAAUAACGUUUUCCAUUUCUAGUUAGCACUCUAUCAAAUUCACAUAUAUCAGAAUGAAUUAAAUCAAGUGGUUCAGAUUCUCUAUUGACAGAUUUAUGUGAAGUUCUAGUGAUUUUAGCUUGACUACAAUAUUCACAUUUUUCAAAAUCAUUCAAUGAUAAGUUAGGUAAAAAACCUAAGUUACUCAUGUUCUUAACCAAGCGUUUGUUAACAUGACAAAGUCUAGCAUGCCAAGUAUUAAAAGAAGACAACAUAUAAGUAGAAGUAGAUAUUUCAUCAACAUUUAAUUUAAACAUCCCAUCAGUAGCAUAUCCAUUUCCCACAAAAACCCCAUUUUUAGUGAGAGUAUACGUAUCUGCUCCGAUGGUUUGAGUGAAUCCAGCCUUGUUGAGAAGAAAGCCUGAGACCAGAUUCUUCCUUAUCGCUGGAGCGUGCAUCACAUCUUUUAGUACCAUGGUUUUUCCAGAGGUGAACCUCAACUCCACCUCUCAAGUACCAGCAACAUCAGUUGAGUGUGAAUCACCCAACAACAUCUUCUUUCCCUCAGCCACAUAAUAGGUCUUGAAAAGGGAACGAUCAAAGCAAACAUGGCGAGAAGCACCAGUGUCCACCCACCAUCCCUCGGAUCCAUCAACUACGUUGAUUUCUGAUAUCAUUGCAAUCAGUUGUUUUUCAACAAGAUUUGCCUAAAAAAUGGAGUUUGCCUUAUAAUGCAUAGCAGAUUGAACACGUCUUAAAAUUGUUGUAAGCUGAAAUAGAAAAGAACGAAGUUACCUGAAAAAUGUAGAAGCCUUGAGUGGUGAAUGAUUCUUGGGAUGAGUCGCUGACUAAGUCGCUCUCUUUAAGACGUUUCGCGGCUCUGCCCAAAGUGUGCAAGCAGUUCACAAACACCACGUCGUCCCCAGGAUAAAACAGCCCAGAACCUUCUUCUAAUAAGGUUCUUCCUUGCACAAUGGAAGAACCUUCAAACUUGCACCCUUUCAGUAUGUUGCUCUCAAAACUUAAUUUCAAAAAUUAUAUAACAGCUUAUAUUUUUCUCUGUUUUUCGUUGAUACUUGGGACUUAUAUUUAUAUACAAAAGUAAAGAAAUAGACGUUGAAGGAUUAAUAAAUUAGAGGCUAGAAAUCCGGAAUAAACGAAAACGUAAAGAAUCAAAACGGAUAGAUUACAUAUGGAGGUGGACGUGACCACCUUCUCUAUUCAGAAAGCAUUUCAAAUUUGUUGAAGUAAGAAACUUCCUUACGUCUCCUAUAUAAUUAAGAGUGGAAAUUACUUCUAAUGACAGUUAUAAAUAUAUUUAAUAUUUCUAAUAAAACAAAUCAAAAUCAUAUAAACAUUUAUAGUAUUAAAUAAAAACAUAACUGCUCCAACACGAGUCCCUUGUUCAAUCCCUAUUGUCCAAUAUCGUUUAAUAAAAACCAUUGUUCAAUUUUUUCGUUAUCUGCCUACUCUACUCAUCUCAAUGAAACCAAUCUGCAGAAAAUCAACAUACAUAUGUAAGUGGCAUGUGACUCCUCAAGAUGAUGUCUAUGGAUAUAACUAUCUCUUAUUAAAACAAACAGGACUUUCAGAGAGCUGGGCUAAUCGAGAAUAGUUGGAUAUGAUUAAUUAACUUUCCUUAUUUAUGAUUUAAAACAUCAGUGGAGUAGACACUUCUUGCUAGUCUUUCAAACCUCGUUUUCUUCGACUGAAAUCUCUUUGCUUCCUCUCACUUUCUCAGAGCAGAAUCGGAACUCACAAGCUUGGAAAAAUUAGACCUCCCAAGAGAUCAGGCGGAAUCUCAUUUAUACUACCAACUCUUUCAUUUCUUAUCUUCAACACCGGCCAAGACCAAAAUCCGUUUUUCACCUGGUACUAGGUUAAGCAACAGUAGUCAGUAAAUAUGUACGCCAUAAUGUUUAUUCUCGACAAAUCUUUUAUUUACCAACACACAAGAAAUAAGUCAGUCAUAUGCAAUAAAAUAUGUACGUUUCUAAAAAGUAUAAUUACCAAUGGCGGAACCUUUAUCCGAUAUGUGGACAAUUAGGCAUCAGUCUCCCCAUUUAUAUCACUCUCAUUUUUAUUCCCAAAAGCAUUGUAGGAAAGCAUACUCUAAAAGCAAAGCUAAGAAGAAGCAUAACAAAGAUAUAUAAAUAACAUCAUGUAAUAGAAGUCACUAGAAGAAUUGAUGCGGUUGCGGCGGGCUAAAAAAAUUGUUUUGCGAUUCAAAUCAUAUCUUAAAGAAGAGUAGUAAUUUUAUUUAUUUAUUUGUUUUGUUUUUGUUUUUUUUUUUUUUGGUAUUUGGAGAACAACAUCACUUCAAAGCAAGUGACAUUUAAUACAAAUAAUAGAACAAAAUUAAAUAUUUUAACAUAAAGUGAUUGUAAUACAAUGUGAUUGCAUAGGAAACACAUGUAGCAUGCGGUUUAAUAAGCUUGUUUGAACUUAUUGAUCAUAAUUUUGUUCACACAUUGUUACACACACCCCUAAUUUAAAUUGUAUUUUCACUAAGUUUGAGAUUAUCUUGUUUUUUAAAUUGUUUUUGGAUCUUAAAUGGUGUGCCCAAGGGGCGCACCCCUGUUUUGUCCCCCGGUUCCCUUUCCAUUUUCUUUUAUUUUUCUGAAAAGUCUCUCUCUAUCUUCUCUCUUCUCCCUUACUCUCCCUUAUCUCUCCCUCUCGAGCUCACCUCUCUCUCGGGCUCUUUCCCGAUCGACACCCAUACAUACAAACGUACACACACACACCCAUACACACUUUCAUGGACGCACCAAGUCACCAUCUCAGCGGAGGACGGAACGAAUACCAACCUUCGAAACCGUAAGCUCGGAGAACAACUCCCUCCUCCAAUGAACCCUCAACCUUGGUAAGCUUCGGGACUCUCUCUAAUCUUCCUUAGAUCGAUUAAACUCUAGUUAGGACUCAUUUUAGGUACUUUGGUGAAGGUUUGUAGUGAGAAACAACUCGGGGAGCUUUCCCCAGAUUUCCGGUGAGGAUUCCGUCACUUUCGAGGCAAUUUCCGGCCAAACCACAGCGAGUUGUAGGGGUGCAACUUGGGCGGGUUGGGCGAGUUGGAAGGUCAACCCAAUCCUAACCCAACUUUUACAAUUCGGGUUCAGAUUUGGGUUGGGUUUUAAUCGGGUUUAUUCGGGCUCGGGUUUAAUCGGGUUCGGGUUUACUUAGGUUGGGUUCGGGUUGGCCCAACUUUUUCAAAAUUAAAAUUCAAUUCCGCAAAUUGUAUCCGUUAUAAAUUUAAACUAAAUAUGAAUGUUUCAACCAUGCAAAGUUUGAAUUAAAAUACAAGAGAUACCAAAGCUAGUACCAAAAGAAAAUGAAAAAAAGAAAGAAAAAAAAAGAGAGGAAUACUUCAUUAUCCAAAUUUUCUUGGGCUUUCAGAUAGAGAGGAAUACUUCAUUGUCCAAAAAAAGAGAGGGGCAACUGCAAAUUUUCUUGGGCUUUCAAAUAGAGAUGGAGACCUGUAGCCUUGAGACUUAGUUUUUGACUUCUUAAUAAGAGGAAAAAGGUAGACUGAGUUGCACAGCCACAUAAUGAAAUUGCAGACUAAUAAUUUAAUAUAUAGCUUUAGGGUUUAGAGGGGUAAUUUAUUAAAAAAAUAUAUUAGAAAGGAUGUGGGUUUUGUACUUGGUCCAUUUAGGUGUAAUAUGAGUAUUAAUUGAUAUGUGUCAUAUUCGAGUUUGUUUAAUUGGGUUGGGUCGGGUUAGGUUGGGUUGGGUUGGGCAAAUGAUCAACCCAACUCAACUCAAUCAAUGAAUGGGUUGAAAUUGGGUUGGGUUCGGGCGGGUUAUAACUCAAAAAAACCCGUUUGUUCGGGGUAAAGUCGGGUUGAACAUGGGCAGGUUCGGGUUGGCCCAACCCAAGUUGCACCCCUAGCGAGUUGGCCAGCGUGAAAGGUAUCAAUCUCUUCGUCUCGCUGAGUACUACAACUUCCUUUUUGUUUCACCCAAUUUCGUGAGUAUUGAAGAAGUUAUAUCCAUUUCAAUCUUACCCAGUUUCUGGCGAGUCCGACGGCUUUCGAGGCGUUUUCCGGCCAAAACACGGCGAGUUAGACAUCGUGCGAGGUACCAUUCUCUUCAUCUCUUUGAGGGAUACAAUUUCCGUUUUUGAAUCACUUAAUUUCGUUAAGUAUUGACAAAGUUAUGAGCGUAUAAAGUUAGAGAACCUUCCGGCCGAAUUUCGGCCUUCUUCUUCCUUGGGUCCGGCGACCCACCAAGCCCAGGCCCUUUGGGCCUUUCCUGCCGAGCCCAACCCAAAACCCAUUUCAGAUUUAUUAUUCAUUUUAUUUAUUGUUUUAAUGUAAAAGGCCCUUUGGGCCAUUCCUUUUAAAAACCCAAGUCUUUAAAGGCUUAAAGCCUUCGGGCCGUUUCACCUUAGGCCCUUGGCCUUGGGGCCGGGUCCCUAAACCCCAUUCCCUUAAAACUCCUAAGCCCAAAUCCGAAACCCAAUUCCCUAAAGCCCUAAACCCUUUUAGUUUAAAAAUCCUAAACCCUUUAACCUUUCAAACCCUUAACCCUAACUGGUCCAAACCCUUUAUGGGAAAUAUUCCGUUAGGGAAUAUUCCAUUAGGGAAUAUUCUGUCAGGGAAUAUUCUAGAAAUAUUCUAUCGACUUUUAGGAAAAUUAAUCGGGAUCUUCUUAGGGUAAUUCGACGUCCUGAACUCGUUUCCAACAUCCGUUUUUCCAAAUUCAAUUGUUAUAAUAGAGUUUUAUUAAUUGGACCAUUUAUGUGCUUAGGGGCAAUAUUUGUGACGUUGCCAUGGUAGCUAGUUUGCGUGGCUCUUCGAUGGCUAAGUAUUUGUGAGUGGACCCUUCUAAAUAUGCAUGUUUUAAUAGUAGAAAUGCAUACAUGAAAGACAUGAUUUAAUGAUUACGUUUUAUGAAACGUUUUGAGAUAACAUGCUUACUGAGACUAGAUUGAAUUACUAUUAUUUUUCCUAUAACCCGUGUUCUUAUAGAAUAUAUGAUGGAUGACGAUAUGAUAUUUAGAACAUGUUUUGAACACCUCUUUAUAGUAUAGAUGAUGGAUGACUUUAUACUCUGAAGUUGUUUUUCAAUAUAUAUAUAUAUAUGUUCAAUGGUUUUGUACUUACCUAGUGGUCCUUUCUGCUACGGGACGUAAGGAAAGAUUCCAAUCCGUCCCGGGCGACGGUUUGGUGUUGGUAUAGGGCCUGGAGUGUGUUUCCCCUGGCUAUUUAGCACAGGGACGAGGUGCCGGCAUGGGGCCUGAAGUGUAUUUUCCUCUGACUGUCUGCUCAGAGACGGGGAGCCGGCAUGGGGCCUGGGGGAUAUCGAACAAUUCACUAGUGAUUAUUAUAGAUACAAGUUAUGGUUUGAGACAUUGUCCGGCAUGCUAGGUUUCGGAAAACUUAUGAUAUAUAUAUGUGUUUUCAUAAAACCUAGGGGUUAGUACGUUGAUAACUGUUUUACUAUAUAUAUAUAUAUAUAUAUAUAUAUAUAUAUCAAAUUGGUCCACUCAUGUUUGUUUUGCACACCCUUCAGGGCUUAGAAUCGAGGCAUACAAUCCCGGCGUCCAGGCACUUCCGCAUCGGCAUCUUCGAGUCCUCUCGGUGUAGGACCCACUCCUUUGUUAAUUCAAUUUUUAUAUUAAUUCUUUUAGUGUUAUAGAUUAGAUGUGUGCUCUAAACACGUUCCUUAAAUGCAUAUUCUUGAUUCUUUUAUAUUUCUACGUCUUAUCUAUUCCUUAUUCUUAGCUUUUGCAUUCAAUAAAUAGCUUUCGUCACCCACGGGUGUCGGUCAGCACGUACCUAUUUUGGUAUUCGAGGAAUAUCGGGAUCGGGGCGUGUCACACAUAUUUAGAACGACGCCAUCUGCACAUUUUAGUUUUAAUUGAUUUUUAUAGAGAUGAUCACUAUAUAGAAAUUCAUAAUAUGAACGAUUCAGGAGCACAAAAUUUUAUAAGUCAGUCACUAAAUGAAAUAAAGAGGAACUCCUCGUCAAUUUUAAACAGUAUAAUACAAGAUUGUAACAAGAUUGCAAUAUGUACAAUCUUGUAUGGAAUUCUAGUCAAUCUGGAGAGACAGAGCCAACAGAGCAACCGACAAGAUAAAGUCACAUAUAAGUUGAAAAAUAUGCAGCACCUCAAGGCGAUGACUCAGACGAUAACGGCGACGACGGGACAAUGACUAUAACCAUUUUAUGGGUAUUAAACUAAAACUUCUGAAAAGAAAAAAAAGUUAUGCCCCCAACUUCCAGGCAGGAAGUGAAAGUGUCAAACCAUCUAGUCAAAACUUAAAAGCAAAGUGAACAGACAUUCCGAUCUGAGUCCUUAAAUCCGGAAAAGGAAUCCUUUUCCUGGUGAUCUAGGGAUCCAGAAAUUAUGUUCGUUCAUCGUACAUUGUGCGGUUAGUUUUCGUUAGAUACUAUUUAUAUUUAAUUUUAAAUGAUUUCUGAUUGCACGAUGUGCGAUGAACGGAUAUAAUUUCUAGAUCCCCAGAAAAAGGAUCCUUGCCGGAUCCUUUUCUCUUAAAUCCAACCACCCACAAAAUACAAUUCUUUUUUGGAAGUUUUAACAAAACACUCUCUAUACUGUUCACUUUUAAUGAAAAUAACAUUUUUACUAUAAAAAGUCACUCAUGAUACUAUUAACUUACAACAAUUUUUUGUCAUUUUGAUUAAAACUCAAAGUUUUUAAGCUCUUUUCAUUAGUUUUCCCUUCUUUUUUUUCUUUUUUUUUUGUUGUCGAACAAAAUAUAAUUCUAAACAUUAAAUUGAGAGUGGUUUUCUCCACACAUUAUUUUUUCAUCUCACAUACUUUUUUUUUUUUUUUUUGUCCUUUAGAUUGAUGAAUUGAAGAACAUUCAAGAAUAGAAAUAAACAAGAUAUGUGUAGAAAGUAAAAAACGGGUGUGUGGAUAACACCACCAUAAACUAAAACAUCCGCCCAAAAGUAUUAUGGAUUUUUUUCUCAGGAAACAAUCCUCUUUUCACUGAGGAAUGUCACAAAAAGAAUUUCAUCGCACACUAAGAAUUAAGUGAGAUUUCUCUUGAAUUUGACUUUUUAAGGGUGUUUCUAUUAAAAAGGAGUAGCUGUUGGGGUUUAGGGUUCAGGGUAAUAUUACUAAUUAAAUAAUUAAAUGAUUAAAUGAUUUGAGAUUGAAUUAAUUUUAAUGCAAGAAUGAUCUAUAGAUAGAGACUUAAAAUUAGACCGUUCGGAAAGAAGGGGCAUGCUUAAGUGAAGUUAAAGAAAUAAUGAAUGCUUGAGGGACUACGCUAAUUACCAUUUAAGUGUAUCUUCAUGCAAUGAUAAUCUACAGCAAGCUAGCUAGCUCUCAUUCCAUCAUUUUGUUUGUCCUACAAUGGCAUACUCUCCUUGGUUUCAACUUUCCCUUUUCAUUCUUUUGCUUGUAGCACAAAGUCCGAGCAAGGCUGCAACGUGUAAUGACUGUUUUGGUCUCAACUGAGAUGGCGUGAUUGAUUUGGGGUUUCCAAAGCUCCGUCUUUCGGUACAAGCUUUCAGUAGUAACUAGGUUUCAGGUGAACUUCCAAAUUUAGCUUUGCAGACAACGAGAGCUGGUAUCGCAAAAGGCUGCAACUCAAACAUUCCACAAGCAAUCUAACUGCUUUACAGUACAAGUUUCUAUCCAACAUGCCACAAGAAAUUUAACUCCGACUCAACAGUCUGAACAGCAAUAUAUGUAACUACUGAGAUUGGCCAACUGAAACUUUUUUAAGAGUUGGAUCCUAGUGUCAACAACUUCUAACAUUCCAGACCAAAAUAUCAAACCUCGCAAGAUUGCAGACAUUGGACCUCUCUCCAGAAAUCUAUCAGUCUUCCAGCAUCCUAGUUUCGCUAUCAAGUCGUCAUUUCUUGUCAUCAUUUAGUGUUGCAUACAAUAAUCUGGCCAGCAGUUUUCUUUUGAAUAUUAAAAUGCUACCUAACGAUCCCGUCAUGUUUUCUUUUGAAAUUAAAGUUCCGAAAGCUUGAAAUGCCGCUACCACAACAGACCAAGACUAAAAUCAUUUUUACCUGCAGUCUUCUUUUGGCUCUAGAUUAGCAAUAGUAGUGAUACAAUAAUCUGGCCAGCUGUUUUCUUUUGAAUAUUAAAAUUGAUUUAAUACUAAAAGUAUGAUAGAUGCAUUUUGACAGAUAUAAAACUGUUCCUAUUUAAUAAUGAAAAAAGUGUAAAGAUUUAACCUCUUGGUCAACAAAGACAACGUCCAAACUUGCAGGUUGAUAAUCAGCUCCAAUAUUUUUUGUCACCUAAAUUCUGCAUAUCCUAAUUUGUAGUUUCCUUGUUAGCUUGUAUGGUAACAAAAGACGAAUUGGCAUAUGCCCCAUCAAUCUAUACAAAGUAAAUUUAAAAGCAAAAAAAAUCCUCAAACUCGUACGACACACACAUGAAACAAAGAAUACGUUACAAUUUUGAAAAAUAGACAAAAACAGAAAAAGAAAAAUGAAUUGCAUUCAUGCUACAAUUACAAAAAGCAAACUAACCUUAUUUACAAAGUCUUCAUGUAAACAAAGAUUUCAAUUAUCAGACUUCAAAGUCUUCAUGUGCACAGUGAUAUUGCAAUUAUUUUUCGAAUUCUUUAUUUAGGGCAUCCACCAUAUUUACAACAUUAAAAAAUAAAAACAAUAUAAGUGGCAGCAAUUGAAGAGUACAAACAGCAUCCAUCUUCUCAUCAAUUUCAACGUUUUGGCAUUUUUUUCAGAAAACUUUAACGAAAAGCUUUCGGUAUUGUUCAUUUUAAUGAAAAACUACAUUUUUACACUAAAAAGUUAAUCCUGAUACUAUUCAUUUUACCCUUUAUUUUGUCCUUAUCGUUAAAACUCAAAGUUUUCAAACAAUUUUUAUUAUUAUUUUUUAUUGUUGUUAGAAUUGUUCAUCAAGUUAUGUUAGAGAUAGCUCCGUGUCCUUUUUCAAAACCAUCCUUUUUUUGUGCAAUUUUUUUUAUUUUAUAAAAACGUCUUUUGUACGUUUGUAAUAUGUGACUGUGAUUGUCACAUCCCAGUUUCGGCUCCGCCGUAGCACGAUAUUAUUCAUUUUCGGUCCCGGUAACGCCCUCACGAUUUUGUUUUGGGAACUCACAUGAGAACUUUUCAAUGGGUCACCCAUCCUGCGAAUGCUCCCACCCGAACUUGUUUAACUUCGGAGUUCCAAUGGAACCCAAAACCAAUGAACUCUCAAAAGGCCUCGUGCUAUAUAGAGGUAGGCAUGUACAUAUAAGGCGCAUCACCUCCUUUCCGUUGGUCGAUAUGGGAUGUUACAAUCCACCCUCCUUAGGGGCCCGACAUUCUCGUCGGCACACAGCAAAGUGGCUUUGAUACCAUUCUGUCACAUCCCAGUCUUGGCUCUGCCGUAGCACGAUAUUGUCCGUUUUGAAGUAGCUAGCUGUCAUUACGGACUACCUAGCCUUUUUAACCACUGGUCUUUUUCCUUGCUUUGUUUAUGGCCUUUUCCUGGGGCUAGACUGCUUUUUAGCCUUCUUUGUUGUACAUCCCAUGGUAAUUCAACUUAAAUUGUAAAAGGGAGGAUUGAUAAAAAGAAAAAAGAAAGAAACCAAACAUUUAACCAUGACAUAUAGCAAAUAGAUUAACCUAUGCACAUACAGUCAAUAAAUUCAGUAAAAACUGAAGAUAAAGAGUAAAUUCAAACAACUGAGAAACAUACAUGAAGCAACACAUGGAGAAAAAGUAAAACAAUUGAGUAAAAAAAUUGAAUAAUAUAUAUAUAUAUAACAGCUAGAAGCAUGCAGAGAGAAGUUGUCACAUCUUGGGCUCGACUCCGCCGUAACACGAUAUUAUUUGCUUUGGGUCCCGACCACGUCUUCACGAUUUUGUUUCUGGGAACUCACAUGAGAACUUCUCAAUGGGUCACCCAUUCUGAGAUUGCUCUCGCGCGAUCUCGCUUAACUUCAGAGUUCCUAAGGAACCCGAAGCCAGUGAGCUCCCAAAAUGCCCCGUGCUAAUUGGAGGUGGGAAUGUACAUAUAAGGCAUAGAGGAUCCACUCCCCUAGACGAUGUAAGAUCUCACAAUCCACCCACCUUAGGGGCCUGACGUCCUCGUCAGCACACUUCCAGCCAGGGAUUGACUCUGAUACCCAUCUGUCACAUCCCGACCUGGGCUCCACCACAUCCCUGGCUCGACUUCGCCGUAGCACGAUAUUGUCCGCUUUGGCCCCCGACCAUGCCCUCACAAUUUUGUUUCUGAGAACUCACAUGAGAACUUCCCAAUGGGUCACCCAUCCUGGGAUUGCUCUUGCGCAAUCUCGCUUAACUUCGGAGUUCCUAAGGAACCCGAAGCCAGUGAGCUCCUAAAAGGCCUCGUGCUAAUUGGAGGUGACAAUGUACAUAUAAGACAUACAUGAUCCAUUCCCCCUGAACGAUGUGGGAUCUCACAGAAGUGGUAAAAAUCCCAAACUUAUUUGAUUAUCUUGAAAACCCACCAGAUCCUUCUCACACUCCAAAAUCCAAAUAACCACUUAAAAUCCAUAAAAUUACAAUGAAAUCAAUACCAGAAUGCACCAAACAACAGUAAAAAAAAUGCAGUAAAGGCAAGGAAGAAUUCAACAACCCAUAUAAGCAAAAACAUUCAUACCUCAAUUGAAUUUUGAACUUGAUUCUCGCUUAAAAAUCUUAAUCUACAAAACCAAAUUAGUUUUAUUAAAUUGAACAAUCUAAAUCAGCAGAAGCAUUCAUACCUGAACUGAAUUUGCAGUUUGAUUUUGUCGCUUAGAAAUUCUAAUCUACAAACCAUAUCAAUUUUAUUAACACGGAUAAUUAAGAUUUGAUAUGCCAAAUUAUUAUGAAAAAAAAGCUAUUGAUGAAGAAAUUUUUCAUUGUGCCUAGAAUACUGAUGGGUAUUUUUACCACAUGCAAAAUUAAGGAUAAAAACACUUAAAAUAUUUGCAAGAGUACAAGGUAAUCGUAGUAUAGCAACUCAAGUAAGGUCGUUUUCCACAGGAAUUGGAUGAAUAAUUUAUGUUAAAUCAAAUGUUAAUUAAUUACUUAAAACAAAGUUUUGGAAAAAAAAAGUUGAUUUGGUGAUUUCAAAUAAUAAAAACGAAUUUAAUAGAAAAUAAUUAAGUAAAGAAUUGUAAAAGCCUAGGGUUCCGCCACUACCUUAACAAUCAUAUGUAAUUCUUCCAAUUACUUAUGAAUUACACAUGCAUAUUUUGAAGGUUAGGUUUUCCUAAAGUAUGCCUACUUGGACCCCCAACAUAGAGCGUAUAUAAAAAAUGCAACUCGUCUGUGGUAUUCAGAUUAAUUAUAAACAUGUAAGACUCAUUAAGCUUUGUGAAAUCUUUUGAAAAAUCAUACAACCCUUAAGAAGUGGUAUUCAUCCUAAGUGAACUUGCUCAUAUUAACCACAAGAAGCCAUCCUCAAUUUCAAGGACCGACCUCCAACCAAAAUUGCAUCAAAUUACUUUUCUAAAUAUCCUAAUAGUAGCUAAGCGUUAAGACAAUUAGAUAGUUUAAACCAGUGAUUAGUAAUUCAAACCUGCGUGCAUAAUAUCAUAAGCAAAUUGAAAAAAAAACUACAUAUUCUUGCUAAGGCUCGUGGCAUCGCCCUAGCAAAAGAGAUUAGUUACGAACAAUUAUAAAACAAAUUAUUAUUAAAAACAAGGACAGAAAACACCUUGAAAAUAGCCAAAGGCUCUUUAAGCCGAAUUCUCUGGUGCGUUUACUAAUCCGUAAUCAAAUUGAGAUGAAUUGAAUUGAGGAGAAAUUAAAAUGAGGUAUAAUCAGAAUUAGAAUCAGAUUCAGAUUCUUGAUGAAGUUCUUCCCUGUCAUCCUUGCUCCCUCAUACUCUUCUUACCAUCCCCUUAUUCUUUUAGCUUCCUUAUCUUUUUUCUUUUCUUUUCUCCGUCUUCUUCCCAUCUUCUUCCCUGUCGAUUCAAUGCCAAUGCGCAACGAAUGAGUUACAAACCCAGUUGUCGCCAACGACAACCUAUUCUUCACCAACUACAUCUUCGAAACCCAUCCUGAACCAAUCAGCUUGGGCCCCGUCAUCGUCGGUGGAUGGGAUUGAGCUGGUGUCAGCACUCUGCUAAAAGGCAUAAGGACAUGGGUAGUUUGGGUAGAAAAGUUGGAUUCCUGAUGGAGGCUUCUCCUCGGAAUCCAAAUACCACCUCUAUGAAGGGGAUCUAAUUCCAGGAGAUUCAGGAGUUCAAUUCCUAAUUUUGUGUGAGCCCCACCUUGUUUCCAAUUACUGAAAUGUUUGGUAAAUGGUUGAAUGCCUUGAAAAAAGUGCAAAUCCGUUUCUUCGUAUUCCAUUCCGGUUACGUAAACACGGCCUAAAGUAGUCUCAUCCCUCUCUCUGUCUGUUUCUCCCAAACCCUAAUGGCUAAAUAUCAUUAUUUAUACUACUACAAAAUAAAACCCUAAAAGGUCUUAGAAUAAAACUAGGAAACAUAAUAAAAUAAUAAAACAGAAAAUAAAAGGUUUCCUAUUUGAACUAAAAUUCAGAUUUUUUUCAGAAAAUCAAACUUUUGACUAACCAAAUCAACUCUGAUUUGGUCCCAAAAUGUCUCUUUUGAAAACUGAAGACGUUCCCUUCAAAUCCUCAGAAGGAAUCUUCGUCAUAAUACACCAUCUUGACCUUCAAACUACCCAAAAUGUCCAAAAACGUCAAUUUAGAAAAAUUGCACACUGGGUCUUUAUUUCAUCACCACAGUCAAACGGCUUGGUAGAAAAAUAUGGAAUUUUGACACAAUCAUCUUGAAAGACUCACGAACAUCCUCCAGUUAGAAUCACUCCAAAAUUUGUCCGUUUGAUCACUUUUUACUCCAGAGGAAGUCGAAUGUUCUACAUUGAAAAUACAUAACAAAAUAUCAAAAUUCUACCAAAAAAACUAUAACUAAGAAUAGAGUAAAAUAUAUAAUAUAAUAUGGACUCAUCAAAUACAAGUAUCAUACCAUGUGUCAUUAUAAAUGAAAGGAAGUUUUAUUUUUUAAGUUGUUAAUUUUUAACACAAGUAUCUUACUACUUGCACUAGUGAUGCGUAAUUUAUCACUUCGUGUUCCGAACACAUUAAAAAAUCUCUCCUAUUAAUGAUAUGAUUUUUACUUGAAGAUGUGCAGUCCACAUUCCAAUGAAUUAUAAACAUUAUAUAACAACGUAUGUCUAGCUGACAAAAUAUCUAAAAUUAAAGUUACUUAGUAUUACAAUUUAUUGAUAUUAUUUCAUUUGUAAAUAAGAUGUUAAGUUCAAAUAUAAGAAAUGAUGAGUCCGUAACUAAUUUAUUCCUCCAUGCUCUCCAUACUACGAGGGCUAAUAUUGCAAAAGGCUGCAACUCAAACAUUCCACAGGCAAUUGACCCAAAACAAAAAAAAAGCAUUCCAUAUGCAAUUUAACUGCUUUACUUUACAGUGAAAGUUUAUGUCCAACGUGCCACAAGAAAUUUAACUCUGAAAAAAAACAGUCUGAACCGCAAUAUACGUACAUACUGAGAUUGGCCAAUUGAAACAUUUUGAAGAUUUGGAUAUUAGUGUCACCAACUUCUAACAUUCCAAACCAAGAUAUCAAACCUCGCAAGAUUAGAGAGAUUGGACCUGUCUGCAGAAAUCUAUCAGUCAUGCAGAAUCCCAGUUUCGCUAUCAAGUCGUCAAUUAUUGUCAUUAUUUAUUAUUGCAUACAAUGAUCUGACCAGCUAUUGAAUAUUCAAAGUGUGUGUGUGUAUAUAUAUAAAUAUAUAUAUCUACAAUUACAUCUUAUCUGUUCAUCGUACAUCAUGUGGUUAUCGUUCGUUAUGUACUUUGUGUAUUUAAUUUUAAAUAAAAAAUUCAUAAUAAUUUAUAACCGCAUAAUGUACGAUAAACAGAUAAAAUAGAUCCUCACAAAGAGAAUCCAAAUCCCAAUUCCCCAUCCCUUUGUGAACACGGAAAAUUCCUGAAAACGAAAGAGACAAGAACAAACGUGCACAAACAAAUAUUAGUAUUUGAUGAUUUUGGGUUACAAUCUCUCUCUAUUUUGAUCCUCUGAUUCGAUCUCCGUAAGGUGUUGAUUGGUGGAUGUGCGAUUGAUCCAAAGGGCCGUUGGGCUUGAUCUAAGGAUGAACGUUCUUCAAGGGCCGUAGACUUGAUCUUGAAGGUGGAUUUGAGCGGAUCUUCAAAGGGGCUUUUGGGCUUGAUCUUUGAAGAACAGUGAUGAACGGAUCUCCAAGGGCUUUUGGGCUUGAUCUUGAAGAACAGUGAUGAACGGAUCUUCAAGGGCUUUUGGGCUUGAUCUUGAAGAACGGUUGGAUGUGUGGAUUUGUCGACGUUGUUGAUCCAAAGGGCCGUUGGGGCUUGAUCUUGGAUGAACGGAUGAUGAACGAUGGUGCUUUCUUCAAGGGCCGUCGGGGCUUGAUCUUGAAUUGGUGGAUGAUUGUUGAUCCAAAGGGCCGUUGGGGCUUGAUCUUGGAAGAACGAUGAACGAAGAACGAAGAACGUUUUCUUCAAGGGCCGUCGGGGCUUGAUCUUGAAGGUGGAUGAUUGUUGAUCCAAGGGCCGUCGAGGCUUGAUCUUGGAAGAACGAUGAACGAAGAACGAAGAACACUUUCUUGAUUCUUCGGGAACCUGGAUGCUUGAGAGCUUCGGAGUUUCAGAGCUUCAGAGCUUCAAGGUGUAAUAUGAAUUGGUUUUUUUGAAUGAAUGAAAUAGGCUUGUAUUUAUAGAAAUUUCCAAUGCCUAAUUUUGAAUAUAAUAUUCCAGAUAAAAUAAGUUGUUUCUGCCAGGUGUUGACACGUGUCCUAUUUGAUGACUUUUCCAACUUAUUUCAAUUUUCGUUGAGUCGCACGCUACGUGUAAAAUUUAUGUAAUACAUGAGCGUUGACACUUUAAUUUAUCGGUCAACAUUUAUUUACCGAAAUUUCGAUGUCUACACCCUUGUCUUGUGAUGAGUUGUGAAUACCACCUAUUCCCCUUUGAUUUAUGGCAGCUGAUUGUGCCUUGUAUUUAGGGCUAGUUUGGUAUUGCUGUGUUUAAAAAAAAACUACUUAUGUUGUGCUGUGAGAAUAAACAGCUGUAAAAUAAAGCAGCAAAUUGUUUGGUAAACUUUUUUGUAAGCUUUUGUAACAAUAAAUAAAUAAAUAAAAAGUUUGAUAGUGUUUUGUAAUCUUUUAUGUACAACAGCUGUGACUGUGUGAAAUGACAAAAAAAAAUAUAAUACUAGAUGUGCCAUUAAUUUAAUUUUCUUAACAAAUAAAGGUAAAUUACUAAACAUACUUUAUUUUUAAAAGGAAAAUAUUUAUAAACUUUAAAUAUUAAUUAGUAUGACAAAGUUAUCCCUUCGUUGUAGUUAUUUCAACUUUUAAAAUUUUAAUUAGUUAUGAAAAUGUAUUUGUUGAUAUGCCUAAAGUUAUCCCUUUCUCAAACUCUUCUCUCUCAAGAACCCAAAAUCAAGCAGCUUUGGCGGUCAAGAAAAAUGAAGUGCAAGCUUUAGUUUCUUGCGUUGGCUUCUUCGACGAGCUUCAAUCUCACUCCGCCGUCCUUCCCCCUUCAACCUCUUUUUACCCGACAAAAACUCCACCUCCAAUGCCUCCAAUUCCAAUCCAUCAACCUUUAUGUCCCAUCAUGUCAGAUACCAAAAGAUGCCUUUCUAAAACUCAAAUCCAAAUUCAGACGAACUCCAAAUCUUUCGAAUAAGAAGUUGUGGGUUCAUGAGUCGGAUGAUGGAGACAAAUCCAGCAGGUUUUGAAGGAGAGAGAGAAAUCAAUUUGAAGCAAAGAUGGGGUUGGGUUCGAGGGACGAUGGAGAUCUGCAAAGCCAUUUCCGGUUUGGUGAUUAGAGAAUGUGGUAUGGAUGCAAAUUUCUUCCUCCUUGAUCUUGGACAAAAUUGCACCUACAAAACAAUUAACACCUUUGGUUAAGGCCAAAAAUCUCACACGCCCACGAUGAAUGAGGGGGGGCUUUAGCCGAAGAACCUCCGAUGCCAAAGUUAGAAUUUAGAGAAAAAGGUGUUUAGAGAGUUUUCGGAGUUUUGCAAGAAUGUGGACUUAGGUUUUUAGAGAAAAUGGGGUUCAAUAUAUAGAGCAGGGUUUGAGAAAAGGUGGCCGGCCCUUUGGGGUAUUUUUGUGUGAAUGAGUGAUUUAAUUGGUAAUUAAUGGAUUAAUUAGAAAUAAAUCCAUUAAUUAGCCAAUUAACUCAAACUUUAAAUAUUACUUAGUAUGACAAAGUUAUCCCUUCGUUGUAGUUAUUUCAACUUUUAAAAAUUUAAUUAGUUAUGAAAAUGUAUUUGUGGAAAAUAUAGGAUGAGGAUGGAUGAAAUAAAUCCAUUAAUUAGCCAAUUAACUCAAUUUGUAUGGAAUGUUUUGAAGGUUAUGAAAUAAUUACCUUGUGGAAAAUAUAGGAUGAGGAUGGAUGAAAUAACUUUGAAUUUGUUACCUAUUUUGGGCAUUUUUGACUUGAUUGUGGGAUGAUUGUCCACUGCUCGGGCGUAGGAAUCCCGAUGUGCCUCGAGGGUAAUUUUGUCCUUUUUACCCAAAAAUCCACGCGUCGCCUCUUGAUUAUUUUUGGCUCCACAGGUGGCAGAGCCGUUUCAAUUUGACGCAUGCUUCCAGAACGAGUCUGAGAGAUUCCAGUUUGAGUAUUAAGGACAAGGCCUGUCAUUUUGCAAAAAUGACGAGGACGAGGGUGUUAUUGGACUUUAUAAAGUUUCAUUAAAGAUGCAAUGUAGCUCCACGUGCUUUGGAAAAAAACCAGUUUUCCAAAGCAGCAUUUAGCUGCUUCGGCUUUUCUGAUGAUUUCAGCUAUCAAUCACCACAGCCUCUAAAAUAAUCCUUUUUUUUUUUUUUGAGCUUACCAAACACCUUCAACAUAAAAACUUCAAAAAUAAGCAGCUUGUUUUUUUAAGCACCUCAAUGCCAAACCAGGGCUUAGUAUUUCUUUCCCUUGAUUUGAGGAGAAGGUGAGGUGUGUUGUUCGGCAGUUCAUGCCCUCCCUCUCAAUCCCAUUCGCUUGAAAAAAACGUUACCAUAGACUAAGACUAAAAUCGUGGAAUUUUUAGAUCUACGGGUCCCCCAAGGCCCAUUUAAAGGUCUAUCCAAUAUAAUUCGGACUUGUUUUCAAUCUUUUCAGAAAGUGCCUCUUAAGAACUUAGAUGCCGGACCCACACUUCCUGGUGACCAAAGCCUCUUUUCAGGACACCUCUCGAUGACAAGCCUUUGGUUUACACGGGCCUGUAACCGUGCGGUUUGAUACCAUGUUGGAAUUUUUAGAUCGACGAGCCCGAGGGCCCCGCUCUAACAAGACCAAUAGAGUCUCCAACUUGGUAAUUACCACUUACCAAAUUCGUCAAGUGUGUGGUUAUAUCACAAAAAACAUCAAUAUUAAUUAGAGUAGGGUAAUUAAAUUUAAACCCAGUAUUUUCUUUACCCCCACCGAUAUGGGAUAGCUAACAACAUGCAAAAACGGCCGUUUAUAUACAAGGAUGUGGUAUGUUUGCAAUUUCUACAAAUAUGCACCUUCCAGCACGCAUAAUUAUGUGUUCCGAUGUUGUUUCUACAUCCUUUUGUCUAUAAAAGCAGUAUACACCUUUGAGCAAUCUAAUAUACUUGCAUGCCACUUUCAACAAGAACCAUGGCAGUGCAGCCUAAUCAUCUAACUAAAUCAUAUGUCCUCCCACUUUACAUCUUGUUUAUCACAAGCGGUAUUUCUACAACCCAUGCUGCUUGCAGCAAAAUGGACCAACAGUCUCUUUUUGCUUCAUUUGACAUCGCUUCUUCUAGUUUAAACUGGUCUUCCAACGAUUGUUGUCGAUGGGAGGGCAUCACUUGUGAUAUGGCUGGUAGGGUCACCCAUCUGUUGUUGCCCUCCAAACGCCUCAAAGGAGUCAUUUCUCCAUCUCUUGGAAAUCUCACGCAUCUCUCCUACCUCAAUCUCUCCCAUAAUAUACUUUCUGGUCACCUGGAAGCUGGAUUCUUUCUGUCCUUGGGUCGCCUUCAGAUCCUUGAUUUGAGCUACAACCUUCUCUCUGGAGAACUACCGCUAUCUCCACCGCCAAGUUCUAUCCGAAUAGUGGAUUUGUCCAGCAAUCUAUUCAACGGAACAACUCCAUCAUCUUUCCUCCAGCGUGCAUGGAAUUUGAGCAACUUAAACGUCAGCAACAAUCUCAUUAAGGGCCAAAUACCAUCUUUCAACUGUUCUUAUUCUCCUUUUGUUAUAAGCUUGGAUUUCUCCCACACUGAUUUCAGUGGCAUAAUUCCCCUUGGACUUGGUAACUGUUCAAAAUUGGAGCUCUUUCGUGCAGGUUUCAAUAGCCUUUUGGGGACACUUCCAUGUGAUAUUCACAACGCUCGAGCACUUGAAGAAAUUUCGUUGCCUUCCAAUAAGCUUUCCGGGGCCAUUGGUGAGAACAUUGCCAAUCUUACCAACCUCGCAAUCCUGGAUCUCAACUUUAAUCAGCUGAGCGGUGCACUUCCUCUUCAUAUUGGGAAGCUCUCCAGAUUGAAGCUCAUAAUCCUCCAUUUGAACAAUCUAGAGAGUUUUCUGCCUCCGUCUCUGAUGAAUUGCUCAAGCCUUACAGAACUGAAUCUAGGAUUCAACCAAUUGGAAGGAGAUCUCUCUGUGCUUAAUUUCUCCAAACUUAGUCAACUUAUUAAGCUUGACCUAAUCCAUAAUCACUUCACCGGUCCCUUGCCAAUAAGCGUUUACUCAUGCAAGUCUUUGAUAGCACUUCGACUGAGCUUAAAUGAUCUAGAGGGACAAUUACAACAUGAAAUUCUUUCUUUAAAAUCCUUGUCUUUCCUUUCGCUUUCUAAUAACAGAUUGACCAAUGUCACAGGGGCAAUAAAGAUAUUGAAGGAUUGCAAAAGUUUAAGGAUACUCCUUUUGACAAAUAAUUUUCUAGGAGAAGAAAUGCCAGAUGGUGAUCUCAUGGUUGAUUCAUCUGGGUUCCAAAAUAUCUCCAUUAUCGCUUUGUCAAGGUGCCAAUUGACAGGAAAAGUUCCUGUAUGGCUGUCGAAGCUCGAGAAAUUGAAAGCGUUGGAUCUGUCUUUUAACAGACUCACGGGACCAAUACCUGGUUGGUUGGGGACUCUUCCAAGUCUAUCCUAUAUAAAGUUGGAUGGUAACUUCAUUUCAGGUGAAUUUCCAAAGGAGCUUUGCAGACUACAAGCUCUCAGGUCGGAAAAGGCUGCAACUCAAACAGGUCACGACGAUUUAGAGCUGCCCCUCUACUACCAAAACUUUAAUGGGCCUGUAGUUACGUUACAGGUCAAGUAUUUGUCCAACAUAUGGACAGCAAUCAGCCUCAGCAACAACAGUCUAAGUGGCAAUAUACCCCACGAUAUUGGGCAAUUGCAACUUCUCCAGCGACUGGAUAUUAGUUUUAACAAUUUGUCUGGCAACAUUCCACACCAAAUCUCGAACCUCCGAAACUUGGAGACAUUAAACCUCUCAAGAAACCAUCUUUCAGGUGAAAUCCCAGCAUCACUAUCAGGUCUUAAUUUCUUGUCUACGUUUAGUGUUGCCUACAAUAACCUCCAUGGCCAAAUACCAUUAGGCACUCAGCUCCAAAGCUUCGAUGCUACUGCCUUUGAGGGUAACCCGGGACUUUGCGGUUCCCCGCUUCCAAAUCAGUGCCAGAAGAAGAGUCCAGGUGAUAGUGAUACGACUAAGGACCAGGAAGAUGUACAUGACUCUGGGAAUGGAAUUCCAUGGCUUCAAAUUUCAGUGUCUCUUGGUUUCAUUGUAGGGUUUUGGGGAGUUUGUGGCCCUUUAGCUUUGAGUAGGUCAUGGCGUUAUGCAUAUUUUCAAAAUUUUCUCCAAUGUUGUAGAUCGCUUUGUGCGUUAAUCAAAUGUACUUUUCUUUGAGGAAUAAAAGACUUAUUAACUAAUACAUAUUACUGCUGUUAUGCUGCAUCGCAACAAUCUAAUAUAUAUAAGAGCGUUUGAUAACCAUUUUGUUUUUAGCUUUCAGUUUUUGUUUUCACUUUUUUGAAAACUAUAAUUUUGAUUGGUAACAUUGAAAACUAAAAACUACUUCCUUGAGUUUUCAAAAUUUGACCUUGAAUUUUUACUUUUUAACUUUUAAUUCCAAACACGGUUUCACUUUUAAAGGCUAAGUUAUUUAAUUUCUUAAGACAUAGGUCUUUUGUUUCUUAUUUUACUCUCGGUGCCAUUUCGAAUACAAAGAAGACCAAGACAUUAAAUAACGCAAUAAACACGACUUUGAAUUAGUUAUUUGCAGCUGUCAUGACUUGUAUUACACGAUAUGAUUUAUCUUUGUUCUUCUUCUUGGUUUUACACCUGUACUUUAAUUGGAUUUCGAUCCCGAAUCCAAUGUAAUUAAUAGGAUAUAGAUUUGAGACUUCAAUCCGACAGUUCGUUAAUGAUUCAAAUCUAGUAUCUCUUAUGAUCCGAUAAUAAUCCGAUUCGGUAGCCCAAUAGUCCGUUUCCAUUCCGACGUAAUACCAUGUUUUAAUCAUUUUGGGAUUUGUUAGGGUUUUGUGGGAGUUUUCCACCACUCAUGAAGCUCAGUUCGUUAGGUUCAUGGGCAUUCGCUGUUGGGUGAUUUGGAAGGAGUGAUGCGAUGUCUAUAUGUUUGGGGAGAGUAUUGUCCUCGCCCUGCUGCGUGAUCAAAUCUUUUGUACUCAAAAUGAGUUUAUAAACACGUGUUAGGUAAUAAUUGGGGCCACAAAGAGGUCACACCCACCAUGAGUGCAUAAGAUUUGAUCUGGCCUGCUGCGCCCUACAAUGGUUAUUUAAGGUUGCUGCGCCAUACCAUGGAUGAGGUUUGAGAGAGAGAUUACCAAAAUACAAGGGCAGGUAUAUCUGAACUUAUAAGCUAAAGUAUGUCUACAUUGUACCUUGUAAUUAUAGAAAUCAACCAUAUGAUACAGGCAGAAUACCAUACCAUGCAAUCGAUCGGCAUCCACCUCUUCUGACUUUAUUGGCACCUCCACCAAGGAGCUCCAGCCUCAAAAGUGUACUUCCCAUCAUCCCAUGAUAUCUGACAUGCUUGAAGACCAAUAGCAACACCAGGUUCCUUCCCAUGCUGUGCACUCCACUCUUCGAUCGCAACUUCUUUAUCAGUUACAUGAGUAUAAUGCUUCUUAUAUUUGCCAAACGGGUUCCGCCCAGGACUUGCCAUUUCUGCAACUGCAGCUGGCAUGUACAUGGAAUCGCCAACUAUUGGUGCACGAAGCGCUGCCAGUUGUGCUCGAACCUG